GUUGUAUGGUUAAGUGACUAAGCGUACAUGGUGGAUGCCUUGGCAGUCAGAGGCGAUGAAGGACGUACUAACCUGCGAUAAGCUGUGAGAAGUCGGUAAGAGACGCUAUUACUCACAGAUUUCCGAAUGGGGAAACCCACCCGAGAUAACUCGGGUAUCUGUUACUGAAUAC
rnacentral:rRNA from 1 species